rnacentral:rRNA from 1 species
CCUACGGGUGGCAGCAGUGAGGAAUAUUGGUCAAUGGACGAGAGUCUGAACCAGCCAAGUAGCGUGAAGGAUGACUGCCCUAUGGGUUGUAAACUUCUUUUAUAUGGGAAUAAAAUGUUCCACGUGUGGGAUUUUGUACGUACCAUAUGAAUAAGGAUCGGCUAACUCCGUGCCAGCAGCCGCGGUAAUACGGAGGAUCCGAGCGUUAUCCGGAUUUAUUGGGUUUAAAGGGAGCGUAGGUGGAUUGUUAAGUCAGUUGUGAAAGUUUGCGGCUCAACCGUAAAAUUGCAGUUGAAACUGGCAGUCUUGAGUACAGUAGAGGUGGGCGGAAUUCGUGGUGUAGCGGUGAAAUGCUUAGAUAUCACGAAGAACUCCGAUUGCGAAGGCAGUUCACUGGACUGCAACUGACACUGAGGCUCGAAAGUGUGGGUAUCAAACAGGAUUAGAUACCCGUGUAGUC